rnacentral:lncRNA from 1 species
GAGUUAAAGACCAGCCUGACCAACAUGGAGAAACCCCAUCACUACUAAAAAUACAAAAUUAGUCAGGUGUGGUGGCACAUGCCUGUAAUCCCAGCUACUCAGGAGGCUGAGGCAGGAGAAUUGCUUGAACUUGGAGAGGCAGAGGUUGCAGUGAGCCAAGAUCGCACCACUGCACUCCAGUCUAGGCAACAAAAGCGAGACUCCAUCUUAAAACAAAACAAA